CCUACGGGAGGCAGCAGUGAGGAAUAUUGGUCAAUGGACGCGAGUCUGAACCAGCAAAGUAGCGUGAAGGAUGACUGCCCUAUGGGUUGUAAACUUCUUUUAUAUGGGAAUAAAAUGUUCCACGUGUGGGGUUUUGUCUGUACCAUAUGAAUAAGGAUCGGCUAACUCCGUGCCAGCAGCCGCGGUAAUACGGAGGAUCCGAGCGUUAUCCGGAUUUAUUGGGUUUAAAGGGAGCGUAGGUGGAUUGAUAAGUCAGUUGUGAAAGUUUGCGGCUCAACCGUAAAAUUGCAGUUGAAACUGGCAGUCUUGAGUACAGUAGAGGUGGGCGGAAUUCGUGGUGUAGCGGUGAAAUGCGUAGAUAUAACGAAGAACACCGAUUGCGAAGGCAGUUCACUGGACUGCAACUGACACUGAGGCUCGAAAGUGUGGGUAUCAAACAGGAUUAGAUACCCGUGUAGUC
rnacentral:rRNA from 1 species